UGCAGUCGAACGGUAACAGGUCUUCGGAUGCUGACGAGUGGCGAACGGGUGAGUAAUACAUCGGAACGUGCCCGAGAGUGGGGGAUAACGGAGCGAAAGCUUUGCUAAUACCGCAUACGAUCUACGGAUGAAAGCAGGGGACCGCAAGGCCUUGCGCUCAUGGAGCGGCCGAUGGCAGAUUAGGUAGUUGGUGGGAUAAAAGCUUACCAAGCCGACGAUCUGUAGCUGGUCUGAGAGGACGACCAGCCACACUGGGACUGAGACACGGCCCAGACUCCUACGGGAGGCAGCAGUGGGGAAUUUUGGACAAUGGGCGAAAGCCUGAUCCAGCCAUGCCGCGUGCAGGAUGAAGGCCUUCGGGUUGUAAACUGCUUUUGUACGGAACGAAAAGGUCUUUUCUAAUAAAGAAGGCUCAUGACGGUACCGUAAGAAUAAGCACCGGCUAACUACGUGCCAGCAGCCGCGGUAAUACGUAGGGUGCAAGCGUUAAUCGGAAUUACUGGGCGUAAAAGCGUGCGCAGGCGGUUAUAUAAGACAGAUGUGAAAUCCCCGGGCUCAACCUGGGAACUGCAUUAGUGACUGUAUAGCUAGAGUGCGGCAGAGGGGGAUGGAAUUCCGCGUGU
rnacentral:rRNA from 1 species